UACGUAGGGUGCAAGCGUUGUCCGGAAUUAUUGGGCGUAAAGAGCUCGUAGGCGGUCUGUCGCGUCGGCUGUGAAAACUCGGGGCUCAACCCCGAGCCUGCAGUCGAUACGGGCAGACUAGAGUGCUGUAGGGGAGACUGGAAUUCCUGGUGUAGCGGUGAAAUGCGCAGAUAUCAGGAGGAACACCGGUGGCGAAGGCGGGUCUCUGGGCAACUACUGACGCUGAGGAGCGAAAGCGUGGGGAGCGAACAGG
rnacentral:rRNA from 1 species